AUUGAACGCUGGCGGCAUGCCUAACACAUGCAAGUCGAACGAGUCGCGGACGUGUUAUUAAUGUCUGGGAAACUUCCCGAUGGAGAGGUACAACUACUGGUAACGGUAGCUACAACCGCAUACCAUCAGAUUUGCCCAGAGUGGCUUAGCUUGGUGGUGGGGUAACGGCUCACCAAGGCGACGAUCCCUAGCUGGUCUGAGAGGAUGACCAGCCAAACUGGAACUGGAAAACGGUCCAGACGCCUACGGGAGGCAGCAGUGGGGAAUUUGGCACAAUGGGGGAAAGCCUGAUGCAGCCAUGCCGCGUGUAUGAAGAAGGCCUUCGGGUUGUAAAGUACUUUUAGCGGGGAGGCGUUACCCGCAGAAGAAGCACCGGCUAACUACGUGCCAGCAGCCGCGGUAAUAC
rnacentral:rRNA from 1 species